rnacentral:lncRNA from 1 species
AUGCUUUGAAAUCCAUGCUCAUCAUUAUUCAUGCUUUGAAAUCCGUACUUAUCAUUAUUCAUGCUUUGAAAUUCGUGCUCUCAGAUGAUAGUGCAGCUAUGGUCACUAUUAUUACCCGUGACAGGGCCAUAAUCUUUACCAACUAUUGUUCCCCGUUGGCAGGGUCUAAGCCAAGCUACUAUAACCCGCUGGCGAGGGCCGUAUGCCGAGCUACUGUAACCCACUGGCGAGGGCCAUAAUCUUUGCCAACUAUUGUUCCCCGUUGGCAGGGUCUAAACCAAGCUACUAUAACCCGCUGGCGAGGGCCGUACAUAGCGAUCUGAGAGUUCUUAAAAACAUAUCAUGCUUUUCAUAAAUCUUUCCUCAUCGGUACAUUGGAAAGUGAGUAAUGGCAUCAUGCUAGAAUAAAAUU